UACGUAGGGUGCAAGCGUUAAUCGGAAUUACUGGGCGUAAAGCGUGCGCAGGCGGUUUUGUAAGUCUGUCGUGAAAAUCCCCCGGGCUCAACCUGGGGAAUUGCGAUGGAGACUGCAAAGGCUAGAAUCUGGGCAGAGGGGGGUAGAAUUCCACGUGUAGCAGUGAAAUGCGUAGAGAUGUGGAGGGAAACACCGAUGGCGAAGGGCAGCCCUCCUGGGGCCCAACAC
rnacentral:rRNA from 1 species